GAUCCACCCCGGCCCUCGGCCUCCAGCCGACCGGUUCCCGACACGACUUCCCCCGUGCCGGGCCCCGGACGGAUGGGGACCAGGGGCCGGGGAGCGCCCACC
rfam:Knoellia subterranea KCTC 19937 contig15, whole genome shotgun sequence.